rnacentral:rRNA from 1 species
AAUCGGAAUGAGUACAAUUUAAAUCCCUUAACGAGGAACAAUUGGAGGGCAAGUCUGGUGCCAGCAGCCGCGGUAAUUCCAGCUCCAAUAGCGUAUAUUAAAGUUGUUGUGGUUAAAAAGCUCGUAGUUGAACCUUGGGCCUGGCUGGCCGGUCCCCCUCACCGGGUGCACUGAUCCAGCCGGGCCUUUCCUCUGUGGAACCCCAUGGCCUUCACUGGCUGUGGCGGGAAACAGGGCUUUUACUUUGAAAAAUUAGAGUGCUCCAGGCGCUCAUGCUGAACACAGCAUGGAAAAAUAGAAUAGGACGUGUGGUUCUAUUUUGUUUGUUUCUAGGACAGCCGUAAUGAGUAAUAGGGAUAGUCGGGGGGAUUAGUUUUCAAAUUUUAUAGGUGAAAUUCUUGGAGUUUUUGUAGAAUAAGUACUUUGUAAGGAUGUUU